rnacentral:rRNA from 1 species
GACGAACGCUGGCGGCGUGCUUAACACAUGCAAGUCGAACGGGAAGGCCCUGCCUUUGUGGGGUGCUCGAGUGGCGAACGUGUGAGUAACACGUGAGUAACCUGCCCUUGACUUUGGGAUAACGUCAGGAAACUGGGGCUAAUACCGGAUAGGAGCUCCUGCUGCAUGGUGUGGGUUGGAAAGUUUCGGCGGUUGGGGAUGGACUCGCGGCUUAUCAGCUUGUUGGUGGGGUAGUGGCUUACCAAGGCUUUUAAGGGUAGCCGGCCUGAGAGGGUGACCGGCCCCAUUGGGACUGCGAUACGGCCCAGACUCCUACGGGAGGCAGAAGUGGGGAAUAUUGCACAAUGGGCGGAAGGCUGAUGCAGCAACGCCGCGUGCGGGAUGACGGCCUUCGGGUUGUAAACCGCUUUCGCCUGUGACGAAGCGUGAGUGACGGUAAUGGGUAAAGAAGCACCGGCUAACUACGUG